rnacentral:rRNA from 1 species
GGGCCCGCACAAGCGGUGGAGUAUGUGGUUUAAUUCGAUGAUACGCGAGGAACCUUACCAGGGCUUAAAUGUAGUAUGACCGGUCUGGAAACAGACCUUCUCUUCGGAGCAGAUUACAAGGUGCUGCAUGGUUGUCGUCAGCUCGUGCCGUGAGGUGUUAGGUUAAGUCCUGCAACGAGCGCAACCCCUAUUCUUAGUUGCCAGCGGUUCGGCCGGGGACUCUAAGAAGACUGCCAGCGCAAGCUGAGAGGAAGUGGGAUGACGUCAAAUCAUCACGGCCCUUACGUCCUGGGGCUACACACGUGCUACAAUGGUAUAGACAGAGGGCAGCCACCUGGCGACAGGGAGCGAAUCCUUAAAACCGGUCUC